rnacentral:rRNA from 1 species
UACGUAGGUGGCGAGCGUUAUCCGGAAUGAUUGGGCGUAAAGGGUGCGUAGGCGGCCCGUUAAGUCUGGAGUCAAAGCCGGCAGCUCAACUGUCGUACGCUUUGGAAACUGGCGGGCUGGAGUGCAGAAGAGGGCGAUGGAACUCCAUGUGUAGCGGUAAAAUGCGUAGAUAUAUGGAAGAACACCAGUGGCGAAGGCGGUCGCCUGGUCUGCAACUGACGCUGAAGCACGAAAGCGUGGGGAGCAAAUAGG